rnacentral:lncRNA from 1 species
AUGCGGAAUGAAGCAGGGCAAAGACUAAUAGAGUUUUGCCAAGAAAAUGCACUGGUCAUAGCAAACACCCUCUUCCAACAACACAAGAAAAGACUCUACACAUGGAUAUCACCAGAUGAUCAACACCAAAAUCUGAUUGAUUAUAUCCUCUGCAGCCAAAGAUGGAGAAGCUCUAUACAGUCAACAAAAACAAGACAAGGAGCUGACUGUGGCUCAGAUCAUGAACUUCUUAUUACCAAAUUCAGACUCAAAUUGAAGAAAGCAGGGAAAACCACUAGACCAUUCAGGUAUGACCUAAAUCAAAUCCCUUAUGAUUAUACAGUGGAAGUGAGAAAUAGAUUUAAGGGCCUAGAUCUGAUAGAUAGAGUGCCUGAUGAACUAUGGAAUGAGGUUCAUGACAUUGUACAGGAGACAGGGAUCAAGGCCAUCCCCAUGGAAAAGAAAUGCAAAAAAGCAAAAUGGCUGUCUGGGGAGGCCUUACAAAUAGCUGUGAAAAGAAGAGAGGCGAAAAGCAAAGGAGAAAAGGAAAGAUAUAAGCAUCUGAAUGCAGAGCUCCAAAGAAUAGCAAGAGAUAAGAAAGCCUUCUUCAGCAAUCAACGCAAAGAAAUAGAGGAAAAGAACAGAAUGGGAAAGACUAGAGAUCUCUUCAAAAAAAUUAGAGAUACCAAGGGAACAUUUCAUGCAAAGAUGGGCUCGAUAAAGGACAGAAAUGGUCUGGACCUAACAGAAGCAGAAGACAUUAAGAAGGGGUGGCAAGAAUACACAGAAGAACUGUACAAAAAAGUUCUUCCCCACCCAGAUAAUCAUGAUGGUGUGAUCACUCAUCUAAAGCCAGACAUCCUGGAAUGUGAAGUCAAGUGGGCCUUAGAGAGCAUCACUAUGAACAAAGCUAGUGGAGGUGAUGGAAUUCCAGUUGAGCUGUUUCAAAUCCUGAAAGAUGAUGCUGUGAAAGUGCUGCUCUCAAUAUGCCAGCAAAUUUGGAAAACUCAGCAGUGGCCGCAGAACUGGAAAAGGUCAGUUUUCAUCCCAAUCCCAAAGAAAGGCAAUGCCAAAGAUUGCUCAGACUACCACACAAUUGCAUUCAUCUCACAUGCUAGUAAAGUAAUGCUCAAAAUUCUCCAAGCCAGGCUUCAGCAAUGUGUGAACCGUGAACUUCCUGAUGUUCAAGCUGGUUUUAGAAAAGGCAGAGGAACCAGAGAUCAAAUUGCCAACAUCCGUUGGAUCAUCGAAAAAGCAAGAGAGUUCCAGAAAAACAUCUAUUUCUGCUUUAUUGACUAUGCCAAAGCCUUUGACUGUGUGGAUCACAAUAAACUGUGGAAAAUUCUGAAAGAGAUGGGAAUACCAGACCACCUGACCUGCCUCUUGAGAAAUCUGUAUGCAGGUCAGGAAGCAACAGUUAGAACUGGACAUGGAACAACAGACUGGUUCCAAAUAGGAAAAGGAGUAUAUCAAGGCUGUAUAUUGUCACCCUGCUUAUUUAACUUCUAUGCAGAGUACAUCAUGAGAAAUGCCAGGCUGGAAGAAACACAAGCUGGAAUCAAGAUUGCCGGGAGAAAUAUCAAUGACCUCAGAUAUGCAGAUGACACCACCCUUAUGGCAGAAAGUGAAGAGGAACUAAAAAGCCUCUUGAUGAAAGUGAAAGAGGAAAGCGAAAAAGUUGGCUUAAAGCUCAACAUACAGAAAACGAAGAUCAUGGCAUCUGGUCCCAUCACUUCAUGGGAAAUAGAUGUGGAAACAGUGGAAACAGUGUCAGACUUUAUUUUUUGGGGCUCCAAAAUCACUGCAGAUGGUGACUGCAGCCAUGAAAUUAAAAGACACUUACUCCUUGGAAGAAAAGUUAUGAGCAACCUAGAUAGUAUAUUCAAAAGCAGAGACAUUACUUUGCCAACUAAGGUCCAUCUAGUCAAGGCUAUGGUUUUUCCAGUAGUCAUGUAUGGAUGUGAGUGUUGGACUGUGAAGAAGGCUGAGCGCUGA